CCACCGUCCGUUACUAUCCGACCGAUCCAUGCAAUCCGAAUUGUUUCGGUCGGGUCAAAGUCGGGUCUUCGGGUCAAACGGGUGCAUCUUCCGGUUUGCUGUGGAUAGUCACGGUUCGGUUCGGUUGAUUAAAGUGAAUCCAAAGGUAACCGAAUCCGACCGCAUAAUAGCCUUAUUUUUUUUGUUUUAUUUAAUAUUUAUACUGGGCUGGACUGUAUUGUUUGAGAAGCCCAAAAGUUUUACCAAAUCUCUAUAUAAACCUAACACAACACAAGUGAUGAAUCUUGAAAACCCUAGCCGCUGCAAUAGUACAAUCUAUUCUUCUCUCCUUUCUCUCACAGCUUCACAAAUUAUACCUUUCAUAUAAUCUCUUUCACAAAAUCGAAUCCCUUUCACAAAAUCAAAGAAGUGGCAAAGGUUUUUAACUCAACCAUUCCUAAAGUUCUGUCUUUUUCAAUCUAUGGGUAUCAUUUAUGUUUUAACUCAACCAUUUCUGUUUCUUCAUUUCCUUAAUCAGCUUCUUGUUGUUUUUAUCCUAUAUAUUUUCUGGGUGUUCAAGAGUUGAAAAGAAAUUGGAGUAUAGGUGUCUAUUUGCAAGAGGUUCAUCAAUACUCUGUGAAUAUAUGCGGUGCUCUAUAUGGAUUAGGAUGACUUAUUUGUAUUAUCAUGUUUUGAAGGGUUGAGACUGUUGUAGUUUAAUUGAGUAAUGACCUAUUAUGUAACUUUUUUGUUUAGAUAUAUUUUAAAUCAUUUUAUACACUAUACACAAAUAAAAUUUAUA